GACGAACGCUGGCGGCGUGCUUAACACAUGCAAGUCGAACGAAGAGCGAUGGAAGCUUGCUUCUAUCAAUCUUAGUGGCGAACAGGUGAGUAACGCGUAAUCAACCUGCCCUUCAGAGGGGGACAACAGUUGGAAACGACUGCUAAUACCGCAUACGAUCUAAUCUCGGCAUCGAGGAUGGAUGAAAGGUGGCCUCUAUUUAUAAGCUAUCACUGAAGGAGGGGAUUGCGUCUGAUUAGCUAGUUGGAGGGGUAACGGCCCACCAAGGCGAUGAUCAGUAGCCGGUCUGAGAGGAUGAACGGCCACAUUGGGACUGAGACACGGCCCAGACUCCUACGGGAGGCAGCAGUGGGGAAUCUUCCGCAAUGGACGAAAGUCUGACGGAGCAACGCCGCGUGAGUGAUGACGGCCUUCGGGUUGUAAAGCUCUGUUAAUCGGGACGAAAGGCCUUCUUGCGAAUAGUUAGAAGGAUUGACGGUACCGGAAUAGAAAGCCACGGCUAACUACGUGCCAGCAGCCGCGGUAAUACGUAGGUGGCAAGCGUUGUCCGGAAUUAUUGGGCGUAAAGCGCGCGCAGGCGGAUUGGUCAGUCUGUCUUAAAAGUUCGGGGCUUAACCCCGUGAUGGGAUGGAAACUGUCAAUCUAGAGUAUCGGAGAGGAAAGUGAAAUUCCUAGUGUAGCGGUGAAAUGCGUAGAUAUUAGGAAGAACACCAGUGGCGAAGGCGACUUUCUGGACGAAAACUGACGCUGAGGCGCGAAAGCCAGGGGAGCGAACGGGAUUAGAUACCCCGGUAGUCCUGGCCGU
rnacentral:rRNA from 1 species